AUUGGUUUCAAUUGAUCGAGGAAUUUAAAAUGCAUUUCAUGAAAGACCCGGUGCUUUCUGAUGCCGUAACUCACUGGAUGUGUUGCAUAAAAGGCGUUAUGUGGAAAAGCUUCGUUCUAUACAGUCGCCAGAUCCAUAUUUGAUGCCUAAAUCGAUGAUUUUUGACCGGCUGCCUUCACCGUCUCUGCCUGACCCUGAUAUUUACAACUAUCUUGUCCACACAAAAUCAGCCUAUUCUCACGAAAGUUUGAAAAACUUUAAGAGCUUGGAGGCUUAUAAAUGCUACGUUGCUGGUUGGGUGAAACAGGUCCUCGUACACGAAAAUUCGGCAGGAAUCUUGUGCUCGGAAGCCGCUAGACAGCGGUGAAAACAUCAAUAUGAUGCCAACACGAUCGCAGACAUCAGACGGAGACUACGAAGCUCGUCGCCACGGUCGCACAGCAAGAAGGAUGAGCUCUGACGCACGGGACGGGACCGGACGGGAGGAAACAUCGGUUUGGGCAUCAAAUAUGGAUCAGGCGACAGGAUCGACCGAAGCUUUUCCAAAUAACAGCUUUUAUGCAACUCAUCCAAUGUGUUUACAGCGUCUGAAAGCACCGGGGCUUCAAUAAUUUGCAAGUGAAUCCACCUUUAGAAACUACGAUCAAUGACAAUAUGGACACACAAUGACGGACAAUAUAGCGGCACAAUACAGCGAUCACGUGAUUGUGUGACGUUGGUGAUUGGGGUCUAUAAAUGCACAAGGACAGCCGUUAUCGCUUGUCGGCCAUAUUGUGCCCUUCAAUAAACAUGAUAGUCAGUGGAGGUAGUGUGUGAAAUAGCUCAAAAUUGCUCAAUUUUCAUUUUAGCUUGGGCAGAUUUCCAAGUCACUUUCUGUUAACUUCAUGACAUUUCUGGUCACUUCCUGUUGAUUUGGGGGUGUUCAGGGGCACUUCCUGUUGAUAUCAGGGACUGUGCAGGUAGGAGUAAUGCGAAUUGUAAACUAAUGGGAACGGCCGGUAUCAGACCUGGGAAUGCCCCAAAAUGUAGACGAAGUCACCCGAAAUAGACAGGAACUUACCUGUAACUACCCUGGAAGCUAAAGGAAGUACACAUUGGCUCAAAGUGAAGAUUAAGCAUUAACUUUAUCUUUGGUAAUAUUUCACAGACUUCAUAAUGGCAUUGAUGGGUCAGAUCAUUCAUGCACUGCGCCUCGCAUUAAAGUAGGGGGCCGGCCACAUCAAGAUUAGCUACUCACAAACACAAAGCGAUCUAACGCCGGAUUUCUGUUGAAAAAGUAGCAACGCUGUACCACAUACAAACAGGAAGGAUUGUCUCAGGAGUGAUUUGUUCGAGGAUUCAAGGUAAUUAUAUUUUUCGUACCAUGCAUGCAUUUUGAAACGAAAAAAAAAAAAAUCAAUGGCAGAAAUUAGCCGCUACUGCAUAGCCAUCAUAGUUUGCAAUAUUUAUGUAAAAUAAAUGCUAACUGCACGUUUUUUUUGCUUUCAACAAAGUUAUUUUACCUCCAUUUCUAUAAAGAAUUUGGGGAUUUAAGCAUUUAUUCACAAGAAUUUUCACCAGAAAAGCUCCGUUUACAUGAGGCGGUCACUAGCUACAUUCACUAACAGAUUAGCAUUGUACUUAGACAUACAGUGGGGCAAAUAAGUAUUUAGUCAACCACUAAUUGUGCAAGUUCUCCCACUUGAAAAUAUUAGAGGCCUGUAAUUGUCAACAUGGGUAAACCUCAACCAUGAUACAAUGUGGGGGAAAAAAAAAAA